AGAAUAAUAAUAAUAAGAAUAAUAUCUUUAAAAAUUGAAAGAACAAAACCCUCAUCAUGAGUCAUCAUCCGUCGUUCCAUCUACCUUCUUUUCCAGAUCCAUCCAUAUUCCAUAUUAUUCAAGCUAAAUCAUGCGCUACAAACGAACAAUUGAUUCUUUUUUCAAGCCCCGAAUAGAUAUUCAACAGCCACACUUCAACAUUGAUAAUGUUAUGGAAGACGUUCAUGACCCACAACCUGAGUUGAACACUAGAGUUGAGCACCAGAAUGAACACGAGAAUGUUGAUAUGUCAAAUUCACAAGAGAUAAAGCUUGAUAAAUUGAUUCGCGAUCCCGGCAUGCCUCCUCCAAUCCUGAGUUAUCCAAGUAGCCAACGUGAUGAGAUUAGACGAGCAUAUAUCAAACUUGGACCUUAUCAGCUUCAGAAAUCCAAAUAUCCUUCGAGUCUGUUUUGACCGGUUUCAACAGCAACAAGUGAAAGGGCUUUCUCGGCAAUGAAAAUUGUGAAAACAAGACUUCAUACAAACGAAAGGGCUUUCUCGCAAUGUUACUUUUACUUGUUGCUAUUUGAUUUUAGUGAUAGCCCCGUUAACUCGAAAUCUUGGCUCCGUCUCUGAAUCUCUUAUAGUGUAGGAGCUUGAUUUAAUUUCAUUAAUAUAUUGAAAUAUAUGGUUCAUCUUUUUACCA